CUAACAUCUUUAAUAUUUCUUUUGUAACUAAAGAUGCAUGUAAUAGCUUUUUAAAUAGAGACUCAAAAAGUGCAACUUCGUACAGUGAAGAGACAGCCCAUUACUGUGUUUGAUAAAAGUUCAUGAAUUUUACAAAUCUGUUGCAGUGGUUGUAAAGAGAAAAGUAGAGUGCUGCUUAUGUUGAAUCCCAGCAUUUUUAUACAGACAAGGACCAUUGGACCCAAAUAAUCUUCCUUUUUUUGGGGGGGGGGGCACCAGUGAAAAUCAAAGGCUGGGUAAAUAGCAAUAGCCAUUAAUGAUUUAAAAUUGGAAAUGAAAAAACAUUUUCUGAACGUGGAAAUAUAUAUACUUCUGAUUGGAUGUCAAGUUAAUUUUCAUUACAAGAAAAAUCAGAAAUCUGUUAGUCUCAUCUGUGCUAAUGGAGGAACGUACUAAAGACAGCAAAAAAAUAUACAGUGCCUUGCAAAAGUAUUCACCCCCUUGACUUGUUACCUAUUUUGUUACAUUACAGCCUUAAGUUCAAUGUUUUAUUAAUCUGCAUUUUAUGUGAUGGAUCAGAACACAAUAGUCGAAGUUGGUGAAGUGAAAUGAG